GAUUAGCAGUAAAGUUAUACCUGCCUGUAACACGGAUGACAGUAGAAAGUAGUCAAGGCAUAAGUCAAUUCAAUGAACUAAAAAAAAUUCAGCAGAGGGCUUCGCAAGCAACUUUUAAGAGGUAAACGGACAUGUUAUUUUGUCCACAAGGUGUCAAAUUUUGAGGCAUGAGUAAAUGAUUCAAGGUAACAUCAAAAUAAGAAGACCACAGGCAUGUACAGGAACAUACAAGUGAUUGUAUGCAUCGAUUGCUCCAUUUCAUGAAAAAAGCAAUCUUCUUUUCCUUGGGAAAGGGAAAAUGAUUGGUCUCAAAUGAUAAAGCGAUGUUGCUUUGUGGUAUAAGCACUAUGUUUGUACUUUAUACACAUUUUUAACAUCCAUUAUUAGCAUAAAAUUAACUCAAAAAUAGCAAAGAAGUGUGAAGAAAUUGAUUUCCAGAUGAAUUUCAGCAGUAUACAUGUAGUGAAAACCAUCUGUGUAUCAUACAGCUCUUACAAGCUUUAAGAACUCAAUGAAAUUCCCAGACUAAAUAUUGUGUAAGCUGGGCGAGAGAAAGCAAGGUACAAGCAUAUUUUAGUUCAGCAAUAAGAAUCUUAUUUUUCUUCUGUUACAGGAAAGUGUGCAAUAAAACAUAAAAUAGACAUUCCAUGUAAAGUAAAAGCAAUAAUACUUAGAAAGCAAGCUAAAUGUGCAUGCCAUAUAUCCCUAAUCAAUUUUAAUUUUGACCUCAGGAGACAUGAGCAAGUGGGUUUCCUUAAAAGCUAGCUUACUCUAAAGGAAUGAACCACAACAUGCUGGCAAGUCACAGAAGAAGUUCAGAGAUGUGUGGCAACAUAGUGGCCAAGAGGAACUAUAUUUGUUUUGAAAUGCAACUAGUUUGGGAUGCUGUUUGGUGUUAUAUUUAGGUCCCCAAACGCAUAUGCGACUUAUGAUUGUCAUUCAGUAACCAAAUCAAAAUGCAAUGAUGGGGACUCGCAAAGAACAAACAAGGCCUUCCCAAGCUAAGCCCCAAAAAACCAAACAUCAUGUAGAAUUAAUGCUAUGUUUGGCAAUCAAAAUAUGAUGGGAAAAGAAAGGGAAUUAUAAGAAGGAAAUGCAUGGAAAAGAAAGGAAGUGAAUUUGUAUCUGCUUCCAUCAUUUAGAUCCCUUCUCAAAAUGAGAAGUUAAAUUUCUUUUGGUUAUAUUUUCCCUAUCUAUUCCAUAGUAAUGUUCAUAAACUUCUAAAAUAAAGGCUGUAUUGGUAAAUUCUUAAUAAUUUCUCCUUAUUUCCUUUACUUUCUCUCUACUUUGGAAGGAAGCUGUAAGUGUCCAAUUUUCCUACACUUCCCUUCCCAUUUUAAGAGCCAAAUGACAGAAUUUAGCACAACUUCUCUUCCUAUAUUUUCUCUCCAUUUUUCUCAUGACAAACACACUGUAAAGCUUUAUUCAGAUAUAGCAUGAAGCCAACAAUUUUGUUAGGUUCCAAGUCCUAACACAUAUGUUCAUCAUAGAAGCAAUAGCCAUAAGAAUUGGGAUGAUUUAUAUCACGUUUAUCUCAAGGCUCAAAUCAUGCCCCAUUGUAGACCAUACUAUACACAAAAUUGUAACUCUUCAAAAUAGCUGUCUAAUUCCCCUACAAUGCCCAACUAUUCAGAGCAAAUAAUUUGGUUAUGAAGUUAAAACAGAGUGUAGCCUUACUCGUCCUUUUGAGCAAUGGGCAU
rnacentral:misc_RNA from 1 species